UUGAAAGAAAGGGACAAGAAAAUACCAGAAGAACUCUACUCCUAUUUCAGUUUCCUCACUACAGAUCUUCACCCUUUAAGUUUUACUCCCAGAUUUUUUUCUCCUCAGCCUGAUGAAAGGCAAGAAUCCCAGCUGUACAGGGGAGUGUACAGAAAGGCACAAAGAUGAUUUCUUAAACGAUGAUUCCUUGAGGAAGGAAAAACACCUAGUUUUGCAUGAGAUGUCCCGUCAUUGCCUGCAUAAAGCCACUGCUGAAGAUGCAAACUCCAAGGUCUCCCAAACACCCUCAAUCCAKCUGACAGAGGAAGACUCACCACUGAACGUGUUACAUACGUGUGUGACUGCCAGCAGGUCACAGCAACCGGAAGAGAAGUUGCAGUUUUUUGCCAAUGAGACUGGUUUUCCUCAGGGAGUUGUGAACAUGCUGACCUGUGAUGGUAGAGAACUCACUGAGGAGACUGAUUAUAACACAUGGUGCCAGAAGUCACUGGUUUGCAGAAGUGUGACAUCCAGGGGAAGCCAGGCCUUGAAGGAGGCUGACAAUGGUGCUCCCAGAUCCACAUGUACGUGGCAUGAAAGCUCUGCAAAAGAAAACAAUGCUGAGACAGCAUCCAGUGUGCCCCUAGGAGAUGAAGCUCCUGUUCAAAACGAUGCUAACCAGUCACC